rnacentral:misc_RNA from 1 species
CGUUCUUGUUCUUCCUUCCUCUUUUCAAUAAUUGAUUUCCGAGCAAGGAGUCUCUUGUGUUCCUUAUCCACAAUCUCCGCUAAUCCAGGUAAAAUCUCACCUAGCUUCGAAGAUUUUUUUGCUGGAGGAUAUAUCAUGGCCCUUACUUUAUUUAAGGAUUCAGCAAAAAUUGCAAGAUGAUCUCGCAAUCCAUCAGAUUCAAGACCCACAUUAGUGAAUAAUAUGACACUCUUCAUAUGGUCAACCUUCAUAGCUAUGAAGUUAUGUUUCACAGCAUCAACAGAAAUCUUCUCGACAACAGAAAAAUCAAAAAAGGGGAUCAUCUGAGAUAAACUCUCAAUUUUCAUCAUCUGAUACACUUGAGACACCUGUUGAAGCAACCUUAGGGUAGCAAGCAGCUUCUCAAGGGCAGGGACAUAUUGAGAUAGUUGCACUUCUGGCACAGAGGAAGCUGAAGCAAGUUUUCCCCCAAGUUUUGAAAUUUUUGAUAACAGUGGCUGAACCUUUGCUGCAAGAUCUAGUGGGAGAAAUUCAUGCUCCAAAAGAUGGUAAAGAUCUUUUACUUCCUGCGUCGCACAGCUCAAUACACCUUUGGAAAC